rnacentral:misc_RNA from 1 species
CCAUACCGAAGGCGACCAAAAUGAGGCUGGAUAAGAUGGCAAUACUACAGUGCAAAGGAUGAGAUUGAGGUGUAUGCCAGUUUCGAGUUGUCUCAUUCGAAAGCAAGACGAAGUAUUGUCUUUUACUUGGUAAGGUGAUUGAACCAGAAAUGAUGCAGCCAAAAGGGUUUAUGGGUCUCACGGGUUUUAGGGACCAGGCUUGAUUUAUCAUCUCUCUCUCUCUCUCUCUCUC